rnacentral:rRNA from 1 species
UACGUAGGGGGCGAGCGUUUGUCCGGAUUCAUUGGGCGUAAAGAGCUCGUAGGCGGUGUGUCGCGUCGGCCGUGAAAACCUGCAGCUUAACUGUGGGCGUGCGGUCGAUACGGGCAUCACUGGAGUUCGGCAGGGGAGACUGGAAUUCCUGGUGUAGCGGUGAAAUGCGCAGAUAUCAGGAGGAACACCGGUGGCGAAGGCGGGUCUCUGGGCCGAUACUGACGCUGAGGAGCGAAAGCGUGGGGAGCGAACAGG